UUCCGGUUGAUCCUGCCGGACCUGACUGCUAUCGGAUUGAUACUAAGCCAUGCGAGUUUUUGUAGCAAUACAAGGCAUACGGCUCAGUAACACGUAGUCAAUCUAACCUAUGGACGAGGAUAACCUCGGGAAACUGAGAAUAAUACUCGAUAGAUCAUUAUGCCUGGAACGGUUUAUGGUUAAAAUGAAUUUCGCCAUAGGAUGGGACUGCGGUCUAUCAGCUUGUUGGUGAUGUAAUGGACCACCAAGGCUAUAACAGAUACGGGCUCUGAGAGGAGAAGCCCGGAGAUGGGUACUGAAACACGGACCCAGGCCCUAUGGGGCGCAGCAGGCGAGAAAACUUUGCAAUGUGCGAAAGCACGACAAGGUUAAUCCGAGUGAUUCCUGCUAAAGGAAUCUUUUGUUUGUCAUAAAACCACUAAUGAAUAAGGGGUGGGCAAGUUCUGGUGUCAGCCGCCGCGGUAAAACCAGCACCUCAAGUGGUCAGGAUGAUUAUUGGGCCUAAAGCAUCCGUAGCCGGCUCUGUAAGUUUUCGGUUAAAUCCAUAUGCUCAACAUAUGGGCCGCCGGGAAUACUGCAUAGCUAGGGAGUGGGAGAGGUAGACGGUACUCCGUAGGAAGGGGUAAAAUCCUUUGAUCUAUGGAUGACCACCUGUGGCGAAGGCGGUCUACCAGAACACGUCUGACGGUGAGGGAUGAAAGCUGGGGGAGCAAACCGGAUUAGAUACCCGGGUAGUCCCAGCUGUAAACGAUGCAAACUCAGUGAUGCAUUGGCUUGUGGCCAGUGCAGUGCCGCAGGGAAGCCGUUAAGUUUGCCGCCUGGGAAGUACGUACGCAAGUAUGAAACUUAAAGGAAUUGGCGGGGGAGCACCACAAGGGGUGAAGCCUGCGGUUCAAUUGGAGUCAACGCCGGA
rnacentral:rRNA from 1 species